GCUCUUGCCUUCCCCGGUUUGAUACCGUUCCGGGAACUAGUCAUUAAUUGCCAGCGAGUAGUCUGCCUAGCCGUCAUCCUCCUGAUCUUCUUCCUUUGCUAUCCAAACGGUUCGACAUUCCCCAGCGGACCUUACUCGGCUUAGAAGGUCUUGAGGGUCUAAGUCUCUGCGGUCAGCAUUAAGUAAGCCUAUCAAAAUUUCCGCAGACUGGUUGCACUUAUGGUGCUAUUAGUAUGUGAUAGGGAAAGUUUUUUCAUCUCCUCCUCUCUCCUAUUAAUCAAAAACAUCCGGAAAGGCCACGCCGGUGUUGAGUCUUCGAUUCAAAUCGGUCUAUUCGCCGAACUUUUUUUUUAACUUUUUCUUUAGAUAAGAUAAUAAUAUAUAAAUAAAAAGUGCACUUAUCCGUGUCACUCACAAGCAUCGGGCUACUCCUCCUUGUGCUUGCACGAGAGUUGUCGAUGGCUCAACUCAACAUUGACUGUUUUGUUUUAAUGUCACUACCAACGCUUGCUGUGAGUUAG